GAUGAACGCUGGCGGCGUGCUUAACACAUGCAAGUCGAACGAUGAAGCCCAGCUUGCUGGGUGGAUUAGUGGCGAACGGGUGAGUAACACGUGAGUAACCUGCCCUUGACUCUGGGAUAAGCCUGGGAAACUGGGUCUAAUACUGGAUAUGACUUCUCAUCGCAUGGUGGGGGGUGGAAAGAUUUAUUGGUCUUGGAUGGACUCGCGGCCUAUCAGCUUGUUGGUGAGGUAAUGGCUCACCAAGGCGACGACGGGUAGCCGGCCUGAGAGGGUGACCGGCCACACUGGGACUGAGACACGGCCCAGACUCCUACGGGAGGCAGCAGUGGGGAAUAUUGCACAAUGGGCGCAAGCCUGAUGCAGCGACGCCGCGUGAGGGAUGACGGCCUUCGGGUUGCAAACCUCUUUCAGUAGGGAAGAAGCGAGAGUGACGGUACCUGCAGAAGAAGCGCCGGCUAACUACGUG
rnacentral:rRNA from 1 species